GCGCCCGUAGCUCAGCUGGAUAGAGCAUCGGCCUACGAAGCCGGAGGUCGGGAGUUCGAAUCUCUCCGGGCGCGCCA
rnacentral:tRNA from 1 species